rnacentral:tRNA from 1 species
GGAGCGGUGGCCGAGUGGUUUAAGGCGCACGCCUGGAGAGCGUGUUGGGGCCACAACGCCCCUCGUGGGUUCGAAUCCCACCCGCUCCGCCA